rnacentral:rRNA from 1 species
CAGUAGCCGCGGUAAUACGUAGGUGGCAAGCGUUGUCCGGAAUUAUUGGGCGUAAAGGGCUCGCAGGCGGUUUCUUAAGUCUGAUGUGAAAGCCCCCGGCUCAACCGGGGAGGGUCAUUGGAAACUGGGAAACUUGAGUGCAGAAGAGGAGAGUGGAAUUCCACGUGUAGCGGUGAAAUGCGUAGAGAUGUGGAGGAACACCAGUGGCGAAGGCGACUCUCUGGUCUGUACCUGACGCUGAGGAGCGAAAGCGUGGGGAGCGAACAGGAUUAGAUACCCCCGUAGUCCCUGUCUCUUAUAC